UUACGGCCAUAUCACGUUGAAACAACGGUUUCCAUAUGAUCACGGAAGUUAAGGAACGUCGAGCCUGGUCAGUAACUAGAUGGGUGACCGCUUCCUAAUACCGGUUGCAGUA